AUUGAACGCUGGCGGCAGGCCUAACACAUGCAAGUCGAACGGCAGCGGGGCUUCGGCCCGCCGGCGAGUGGCGAACGGGUGAGUAAUGCAUCGGAACGUGCCCAGUCGUGGGGGAUAACACAUCGAAAGAUGUGCUAAUACCGCAUACGUCCUGAGGGAGAAAGCGGGGGAUCUUCGGACCUCGCGCGAUUGGAGCGGCCGAUGUCGGAUUAGCUAGUUGGUGGGGUAAAAGCCCACCAAGGCGACGAUCCGUAGCGGGUCUGAGAGGAUGAUCCGCCACACUGGGACUGAGACACGGCCCAGACUCCUACGGGAGGCAGCAGUGGGGAAUUUUGGACAAUGGGGGCAACCCUGAUCCAGCCAUGCCGCGUGAAGGAAGACGGCCCUACGGGUUGUAAACUUCUUUUAUACGGGGAAUAAAGUGCCCCACGCGUGGGGUUUUGCAUGUACCGUAUGAAUAAGGAUCGGCUAACUCCGUGCCAGCAGCC
rnacentral:rRNA from 1 species